rnacentral:rRNA from 1 species
UUAGAGUUUGAUCCUGGCUCAGGGUGAACGUUCGUAGCGUGGAUAAGGCAUGCAAAUCGUACGGUUCUAAGAUAGAUUUAUAUAUCUUAGAAUACGUGGUAAACGGGGCAGUAAUGCAUACCUAAUCUACCCCAAGGAUAGACAUAACCUCCGAAAGGAGACUAAUGUCUAAUAAUAAUAUCUCUACACAAGUAGAGAUAUUUAAAGGAUAAGAGUAUUCUUAUCCGCCUUGGGAGGAGGGUAUGCUCGAUCAGCUAGUUGGUGAGGUAAUGGCUCACCAAGGCUAUGACCGAUAGGGGGUCUGAGAGGAUGUUCCCCGCCAAGGGCACUGAGACACGGGCCCUACUCCUACGGGAGGCAGCAGCCGAGAAUAUUGGGCAAUGGGCGAAAGCCUGACCCAGCGACGCUACGUGCCAGAAGAAGCUCUUCGGAGUGUAAAUGGCUUUUCUGCAGGAUGAAGCCUUAUGUUUUUUAACAUAAGGUUGACAGUACUGCAGGAAUAAGGGACGACUAACUUCGUGCCGGCAGUCGCGGUAAGACGAAGGUCCCAAACGUUACCCGGAUUUACUGGGCGUAAAGGAUGAGAAGGCGGAGAUAAAAGUUCUACCUUAAAUCUUAACCGCCCAACGGUUAAGCAGGGUAGAAUACUUUAUCUCUAGAAGAUACCAGAAGCUAACGGAACGUACGGUGUAGGGGUGAAAUCCGUUGA